rnacentral:rRNA from 1 species
GGACUCUAGCGAGACUGCCGGUAAUAAACCGGAGGAAGGUGGGAUGACGUCAAAUCAUCAUGCCCCUUAUGACCUGGGCUACACACGUGCUACAAUGGUUGGUACAACGAGUUGCGAGUCGGUGACGGCGAGCUAAUCUCUUAAAGCCAAUCUCAGUUCGGAUUGUAGGCUGCAACUCGCCUACAUGAAGUCGGAAUCGCUAGUAAUCGCGGAUCAGCACGCCGCGGUGAAUACGUUCCCGGGCCUU